GAUGAACGCUGGCGGCGUGCCUAAUACAUGCAAGUCGAACGCUGGAGAUCUAGCUUGCUAGAUCGAAGGAGUGGCGAACGGGUGAGUAAUACAUAAGCAACCUACCCACGAAGACUGGGAUAAUCUCUGGAAACGGGGACUAAUACCGGAUAGGUAAUCGGAAGGCAUCUUCUGGUUAUUAAAGGUUAAAAACACUGGUGGAUGGGCUUAUGGCGCAUUAGUUAGUUGGUGAGGUAACGGCCCACCAAGACGAUGAUGCGUAGCCGGCCUGAGAGGGUGAACGGCCACAUUGGGACUGAGACACGGCCCAGACUCCUACGGGAGGCAGCAGUAGGGAAUUUUCGGCAAUGGGGGCAACCCUGACCGAGCAACGCCCUCGUGAGUGAAGACGGCCUUCGGGUUGUAAAGCUCUGUUGUAAGGGAAGAACGGUAGAUAGAGAAUAUCUAAGUGACGUACCUACCAGAAGCCCC
rnacentral:rRNA from 1 species